AGAGUUUGAUCAUGGCUCAGAGUGAACGCUGGCGGCAGGCCUAAUACAUGCAAGUCGAACGGCAGCACAGCAGAGCUUGCUCUGUGGGUGGCGAGUGGCGGACGGGUGAGGAAUACGUGGGAAUCUGCCCAGUCGUGGGGGAUAACGUAGGGGAACUUACGCUAAUACCGCAUGCGCCCUUCGGGGGAAAGCCGGGGAACCCUUCGGGCCUGGCGCGAUUGGAUGAGCCCACGUCGGACUAGCUAGUUGGCGGGGUAAAGGCCCACCAAGGCGACGAUCCGUAGCUGGUCUGAGAGGAUGAUCAGCCACACUGGAACUGAGACACGGUCCAGACUCCUACGGGAGGCAGCAGUAGGGAAUAUUGGACAAUGGGCGCAAGCCUGAUCCAGCCAUGCCGCGUGAGUGAAGAAGGCCCUCGGGUUGUAAAGCUCUUUGUCCGGAAAGAAAAGCGCCGGGUUAAUACCCUGGUGUCCUGACGGUACCGGAAGAAUAAGCACCGGCUAACUUCGUG
rnacentral:rRNA from 1 species